CCUCCCCGAAGUGCUGGGAUUACAGGUGUGAGCCACCACAGCUGGACUUCAUUAAGGAUCUUGAGAGGAAAUCAUUCCAGAUUUAGGGUGGCCCUAAAUCCGAUGACUGGUGUCCUUAAGAGAGGACAAAGAGGGGCACGUGAAGAUGGAGGCAGAGACUGGAAUGAUGUUGCCACAUGCCAAGGAAUGUUGGGCCACCAGAAGCUGCAAGAGGCAAAGAAGAAUUCUUCCCUUACACUUUUGGAGAGAGCAUCGCCCUGUCAACUCCUUAACUUCAGACUUCUAGUCUUCGCAACUAUGAGAGAAUAAGUGCAUUUAAGCCAUGUUGUUACGGCAGCCCUAGCAGCCCUGGAAAAUGAAUACACUGAGUGCUCGGAUCCAGACCAGCAUAUGGAGCUGGUGAUCUUAUCUUGGGUUUCGUGAUGACUGUUUUCCACGUCUCCACCUUCUUCCCCAUGGCUGCACUGCACAUUUACUGUGGAUCUACACUAAGAUCUCCUCCAAAGGACAGGUAAAUGCGUGAUCACCUGAUCCCUCACCAAAGAGUAUGAGACAGAAAGAAUGGCAAGUGUUCUCUGGGAGCUGCCAAUGACCUGCCUCCAGAGAAGCCACAUACUACAUUCACGUGGAGGUUGAGCAACCACCCUCAUUUUUGGAGCCAAACUGCUUGGAUUCGAAUCUAGGAUCUACCACACACCAGUUGUACAGCAUUGGUUAAGUUACUGCAUUCCUUCUCUGAGAUUACAUCCUCUUGACUGUUUUAGUGUGAAAAUGAAAAUGUUCUUUAUUUAUGCAGUGAUAGUAGGAGAAGAUGUACCAGUGUCUUUCCUUGGACAUUAGAAAUGUAGUCUCUCAUUGGAAAUUACUCUUUCCUACUGGGCAAAAUAAAGAGUGAACAAUCUACCAUCAGGUCUCUAUGAAAGAAAACAGUACCAAUAUAAGGAAUUGGCACGCUCCAAAGAAUCAACGCUCUGCUUUCCCUCUAUUGGUAAAAUGGGGCCAAUAAUAGCAGCAUUCUGUUAAUGAAUUACAUUAGUAAAUAAAUGGCUUAAUUCAAUGUGAAGUGCUUAGAUCAGUGCCUGGCCAAUGGUAGUUGCUCAAUAAAUAACUAUAGGAACUAUUAUUACUCCACUCCUAUCAUACUCACCCAUCUCCCCACAUUACUUCUGGAAACUCCUCCUUGUCUGGCUGUACCCCCACAUGCAGGCAGCCUCCUGCCUCAGGUGCCUUGUUCUGAAAGCCUACAAAUCCCUUCUCAGAUUCCUGCAGAUGCCCAGGGCUCAACAGGGCACAUCUGGCCUUGGUCCUGAUUAGCUUGGAUUGUCCGGUCCAGGCUGAGCUACUCGCCUGGAAUCCCUGCCUUCAGCUCCUCUGCAGCUCUGUGAGCUUCUCUGGGGAUACUCGUUGACGGCCAAGAUGCCUCUCCUGGAACAUAUUGGUGAAGACUCGGCUGCCUUGGCUUUUGUGAUGGGCUUUAUUUUCCUCUAAGAUCUGACAUUCGAUACUUACCACUUAAUAGUCAUUUAUUUAACACCUUUUUCUUUCCUGAUGUCAGGAAGGACAAACAUUUUGGCAGAGGCUUAUCAGCCACCUGCAUCUCUGCCAACUUUUGAGGGAUGUGGUUACGUUUUCUAGAUCCUAACAUCAGAACUCUCUCUCUCUCUCUCUAACAUCAGAACUCUCUCUCUCUCUCUCUCUCUGGGCUCCAGGGCCACUGCUCCUUGUCUAGUCCCCCCAGCCCAGGUGGAGGGGUGCCCUGCUGUGGCUAAGCCCUGGGCUGCUCUGUUUUCUUAGUUGGACACUGAAUGAGACCGCUGCAGAGUGUGCUGUCUAUUCAAACUUGUGAUAUCUCCUUCAUAAUCUUAAACUGACUUCACAUACCCCAAAGCAGCAUUAAUCAGAUCUGCGCAGGUGAACUCUGGGUUCUUAGGCUGGGAGGAGGGUGGGGUGGGGUAACGAUCAGAUAACAGAGCCCCCAGGUUUGUGCAGGUGAAGCCACAUCACCUGCCAGCCUGGGAAGACAUAUCCUUCCCUCUAACCAAGGA
rnacentral:lncRNA from 1 species